rnacentral:rRNA from 1 species
CNUCAANGANNAUAAGAGGUCCCGCCUGCCCUGUGACUAUAUGUUUAACGGCCGCGGUAUUUUGACCGUGCGAAGGUAGCGCAAUCACUUGUCUUUUAAAUGGAGACCUGUAUGAAUGGCAUAACGAGGGCUUAGCUGUCUCCUUUUUCAAGUCAAUGAAAUUGAUCUCCCCGUGCAGAAGCGGGGAUAACACCAUAAGACGAGAAGACCCUAUGGAGCUUUAGACACCAAGGCAGAUCAUGUUAAACACCCCUUCACAAAGGACUAAACCAGAUGAACCCUGCCCUAAUGUCUUUGGUUGGGGCGACCGCGGGGAAACAAAAAACCCCCACGUGGAAUGGGAAUACUCCUUCCUACAACUAAGAGCUCCCGCUCUAAUGACCAGAACUUCUGACCAAUCAGAUCCGGCAACGCCGAUCAACGAACCGAGUUACCCUAGGGAUAACAGCGCAAUCCCCUUUUAGAGCCCAUAUCGACAAGGGGGUUUACGACCUCGAUGUUGGAUCAGGACAUCCUAAUGGUGCAGCCGCUAUUAAGGG